rnacentral:rRNA from 1 species
UACAGAGGUCUCGAGCGUUAGGCGGAAUCACUGGGCUUAAAGCGUGUGUAGGUGGAUCGUUAAGUACCUUGUGAAAUCCCACGGCUUAACCGUGGAACUGCUUGGUAUACUGGCGGUCUUGAGCCAGCUAGGGGCUACCGGAACAAAUGGUGGAGCGGUGAAAUGCGUAGAUAUCGGGAGGAACACCAGUGGCGAAGGCGGCUUCCUGGACCGGUUCUGACACUGAGGCACGAAAGCGUGGGGAGCAAACAGG